UUCAGUAGGACCCUAUACCCCACUCAGUUGCCUCAUUUGCAUCUUGUCUCCCUUUUCAGAAACAGCAGCUUCCUCUUCCCCUCUGAUCCCCUACAAGGUGCUCUGCUAGGGCACAAUCUUCUUCCAUCCUGAGUUAACAAAAAUCGACCCUGUACCUCCUGCUCACUGCUCUAGCCCUUGGAGCUGAAAUACUUCUUAGUUGCGGGUUUAUUUCGUUUUAGCAUCUAAGCAAGAUGAGAGGGAGGUUCGAGAUGGAUAUGAGAAACGGAGUGGUGCGGCCUAGAUUCCCUGUCUGGAU